UACGGGAGGCAGCAGUGGGGAAUAUUGCACAAUGGGCGCAAGCCUGAUGCAGCAACGCCGCGUGGGGGGCGACGGCCUUCGGGUUGUAAACCUCUUUUAGCAGGGAAGAAGCGCAAGUGACGGUACCUGCAGAAAAAGCACCGGCUAACUACGUGCCAGCAGCCGCGGUAAUACGUAGGGUGCAAGCGUUGUCCGGAAUUAUUGGGCGUAAAGAGCUCGUAGGCGGUUUGUCGCGUCUGCUGUGAAAAUCCGAGGCUCAACCUCGGACCUGCAGUGGGUACGGGCAAACUAGAGUGCGGUAGGGGAGAUUGGAAUUCCUGGUGUAGCGGCGGAAUGCGCAGAUAUCAGGAGGAACACCAAUGGCGAAGGCAGAUCUCAGGGCCGUAACUGACGCUGAGGAGCGAAAGCGUGGGGAGCGAACAGGAUUAGAUACCCUGGUAGUCCACGCCGUAAACGUUGGGCACUAGGUGUGGGUCUCAACCAACGAGAUCCGCGCCGUCGCUAACGCAUUAAGUGCCCCGCCUGGGGAGUACGGUCGCAAGGCUAAAACUCAAAGGAAUUG
rnacentral:rRNA from 1 species